rnacentral:sRNA from 1 species
GAUGAUUUCAGCUUGUUGAUGUACUUUGUGC